rnacentral:tRNA from 1 species
GGUGGCUCAGUGGUAGAGUGCUUGCCUUGCAUGCAUGACGCUCUGGUUCAAUUCCUUAGCACCA